CAUAAUGUUUCAGAUUUCCUGGAUGUUUGUGUAAAGAUUUUUUUUAGAUUUAAUAUUUUGGUCAAUGUACUUAUUUCUUUGAGCAUAUCUUCAAUGCAUGGCAGUCUCUAUUCAAUCUCUUGCCUCCUGUUGGUGAAGCUCGCCUCUGUAGUUCCUUUUUGAAAUCCUAAAGCUUUCAUUUCCAUAAUUCUCUGUUUGUGUUUUAAUUAUUGCUUCUUUUUAGAUGUUUAAGUCUUGAAAAGCUUUAUUAAUUUCCUUAAACUAUUUGUGUGUUCCAGGUUUCUUUAAGGGAUUUAUUCAUUUAUACUUUUAGGACCUCUAUCAUAUAGUUCGGUUUAAGGUCUUUCUUGAACUUCAGCCAUGUUGGAAUAUUCAAGGCCUGCUCUGGUAGUAUAGCUGGGAUCUAGUGGGCAUAUAGUGUCCUGGAUAUUUUUGAUUGUAUUGAUUGAUAAAAAUACUUGCACCUUGGCAUCUGAGUUUGGAAUUGUUCAAGGUUAGGUGCUCAUUUCUGGAUUUGUCUUUUUUGAGUGGUUUCUGUUUCCUUUCUGGAUUUUUGGAGUGUGAUAGAUGUGUCGCCUAUUUUCCUGGCCUAUUUAGCUGAUGUUGAAAUCUGGGUAACUGGGAUGAAUUGGGGAAGGAAGGUUGAGGAGAAGGUCUUUAUGGUACAUUGAAAAUAGUGUCAAAGAGGAAAGGGAGACCACAAGUGGUUUCUAGCUCCAGAUCUGGAAAUAAAACUGGGGCUAUUGGCUCUCAGGAGUAGUAGGUGAGGUGUGGGUCUGCCUUAAGCAUGCUUGUUGCCCUGGGAAGAGAUACCCAAGGGUAAGCAAUGGGUGCCUGCUGGGGUUUUUGUCAGGGACAAAGCAAGAAGUUGGAAGAGGUUAGGGGGGAUUGUUUGUGAAAUCCACAGGAGAUGUACACAGGAGUGAGGGAAUCUUGCAGCUGAUAUUGUGUUGCAGCUCUACAGAUGAGACUGUGGAAUUGAGUCUUUCUCAAUUGAGAGAGAAGAAAGAGUCUGUGGGCAACUUACCUGGUCUCUUGUACAGUGUGGCCUGUGGUUUAGCAGGGGGUAUCUGUUGGCAUUGAGGGCUUGGAUAAAGCAACAAAUAGAGGGAUGGAGGUUAAGAGGGAAUGGUUUGUGGGAUCCAAAAAAGAUGUGGUGAGGGGUGAGAGAAGGAUGCAACUGGUGUUCAGUUGCAGAACUAGGGAUGAGACUGGGGAUUGGGUCUUUUUGAACAGAGAGAGAGGAGGUCUGCAGGAAGCAUACCUCUUGUGUGACUUUCUGCUCUUGCACAAGCCUCAAAUGACCAACCAACAUUGCUCAGGUCCUUGUCCCCUCUUGUGUCUUUCAGUGAUCUGUGAUGCCUUCUUUGACCCCACAGCAUCACACUUUUCAGGGGCGGUUUCGGUAUAUCACCUACCACUUAUGCCUAUGAGUCAAGAACUGGAGAUACAAUUUAUCUUGCUUGGGUAAAUUCUAAGACACUUGGACAUAAGCAACUGAUCAGGUAAAAAAAAAGAGGGUUAUGCAUAGCUAUAGUUGGGAUACCUUGAGGUGGCCAUGCUAAGGGGAUGUAGGAAUUUACCAUUAACUUUCCUGCCUACUCUUUAACAUCUGCUUCCCAUCACACUGGCAAUGGAGAGGACCAACACUUCAAGGGCUUUUUGUGAAAAUAGUCAUCCAAACUACAAACCUAGAAGACUCUUCAUACAAAGUUGCCAGAUUGGCAGCCCUAGAACACAUCAAAGAUACCAAUAUCACUUCUCAGGUCAAUUGGACACACUGAUAACUAGAAAAUUUUGGUGGUGGACUGUGGUUCUGAGUAUUCUUGACUAUAAGCCCUUCAUUUGGGACUUAGUGAUCAAUCUCCAAACCUGCAGGCAACACAAACUGUGGUAGGCAAGUGCAUCACAACAGGCAUUCUCUUCUGGACCUCAAUGCCAGAAUAAAAUUAGCAGAACAAGAUGCAGAGUCAUUUAAAGACCUUCUAGUACUGUCAAAUAUCAGCUAGCUAGUGUUAAUAGUGAAAUGAGUGAGUAGUAGGGUGAGUGGAGUGGCCAUUUUUGCUUUCCUUGCCCUUGUUAAUAUUUAUCCAUACAUUCCUGUGUGUGCUGGGCCUGAUGUAAUUCAGGAUCGAGUUUCUGGAGGUCUUUCUGCUCAAUGGCACUAUGCAUUGAUUAUUUGAUAUAUGGCAUACAAAACCACUCUCAAAUGUUCCUUCCUCUUGGUCACCUUUCACAUUGCCAGCAGGUACUUGUUCAGCAAGUAAGCAAAUAGUCUACUGCACAAUCAUACUCUUUCAAAACACAGCUUGCCCAGGUUUUGUCUGGCUGUGGAAAUAUUUAUCUUUUAAAAGAGGACUUGUCUGGAUCAAUGAUGAAAACAACUUUCUGAAAAUGGUGAAUAACAUACAAAUGGCAAUCAGAGGAUCAGAAAUGAGUCCUUCAAAUAAGACAAAUAAGAUUUUCAAAGUCUGCCUUUGCCUCAUGAGCCACUGGUGAAGUCCACUAACCACUAUGUGUGGGUUUUGUCUCCUAGCUUUUGAGGUAAUGUGUAUAGUAAUUUUGUCUAGUGACCAAGAUUUGCAUCAUUCUUCUUACUGUGAAUGGAGCUGCUGACACUUUCAUCAAGGAAAUUUAUAACAAAUAAAAACAAUGGAAAUAAGGAAUCAAAAGCAGGGCAAGGAACUGGAAUAUAUGCUGACAGUCAUACUAGCAUUUCAAAAACAAUAUUGCUUUCCUGUUAGGUAAGUAUAAUGGAACAUACUUUUUACAUCUUCUAUUAGUGUUAAGGUGUUUUAGGCAAUUUCUUUUCUUUUUUAUUGUUUUAGUGAUCUAAGACUGGAAAAUUCAGUUCAGAUCCAUAGGACCUGUCCACUUUGCUUGUCAACGGAGAGUCUCUGACUUGCCUGGAAGAUUGAAGAUCAGCACAGGUUAUACUGUCAAGAAGCCCCAGGCAUUUGCCAGUACCAGUACCUGACUACCUAGUAUCAGGGCUGCAAUGCCCACUCCAUUUUUCUCUUCUUUAACAGAGUUUUGGGGAUUAAACUUGGAUCUACUGUGAGCACUCUACUAAUUGACCUAUCUUCUCAGCUCACAUACAUCAUUUUCAGAAAAAAAGGAGAAAAGGAAGAAAAUAACAAAGGAAUCAGGGAUUCUAUUCUGUGACUACUACUCAUACAAACUCUGAAGUAUGACUGCUGCUGCUACUACUACUACUACCUGUUACCAUAAUUCAGGUCCUAAUAACUCUUAAGAGAGCAACUGGAAAUGAUUACAAACAGCGGGUAGAAGCUAAGAAAGCAAAGGCCACAAGCACCAAAACUUAUAUCUAUUUUCUCCCAGGCACAAAACUGGGAUCAUAAACUUCCUAGUUUCCCUCACCUUUACAGUAAAUGUCACUUUCACCAAAGGCUUUACCCUUUCCGGGUAACAAAACACAAGACAUUUUAUCUUAUUGGAAAAAGAUGAAUGACAUUUUAUAUACUAAAAUUUUAGAAAUUAAAUAUCAAAUAAUGCUCAAAACUUAAUCCUUUAAUCAAGAGUAUUAUAAUCAUUAAAUAUUUAGGGGAGGAUAAUUUUAUAGUUAUGUUGCCAAUUCAUCCCUACCUUCACUGUGUCAAGUAUUUCCUUAUAUACAUUCAGCAUGUAAAAAUCCUUUUUUAAGAAAAUUAUUUAUUGAUGUUUACAUCCUGGCCACAGUUUCUCCUCCCCCUCCUCUCCUCGCCUCUCUGUUCCCACCCCUGAAUCCACUCCUCAGUUUCUGUUUAGGAAAGGGCAGGUCUCCCAUGACAGUCAAAAAAACAAAGCAUGCAAAAACCUUUCCUAUGAUUCCUACAUAUUAUUCAAGGUACCUACUCAACAGUAAGAGACAAUAUAAAAUUCAAGUCAUCAUUGACAGAAUGGCUUCCAAAACAUAAACCAUGGAACAAUAAGCAUUAUAUACUGCAAACCUGAUCUGUAGGCUGUUCCAAGAAUAUCAACACAUUUGUUUUAUGAUCUUGAAUUCUUUCUUUUAAAAAGAAGUGUUGUUCUUAUAUAUAUAUAUAUAUUUAAUAGGGGUAAGGGGGCAGCAGACAUGUGGUGGUGAGAGGAUAACCUGAAGGAUUUGGUUUUCUCCUUCUAUAAUGUGGGUCUCAGGCAUCUAAUUCAAGCCAUGAAGCUUGGCAGUAGGUACAUGUACCUAUGAGCUAGUAUGCCAAUCCAAGGACUAACUCUUCAGUUUCUUGAAAAUAAGUAAGUAUAAAGAACUAACAUUGAGCUUAUUUCUCAUUAUAACUGGAAAAUACUAUAGUAUCUUCUUUGAUCAUUCAAGUCUACCUAAUUUUUCUCUAAAAUGUAACCAAAAACAUAGAAAAUAUCUAUAAUGAAUAAAGAGCCUGUUAGGAGAUGUUUGACCUACAAUCCUACAAUGUACCAAUACUUGUUCUAAUCAGUGUUUUGCUUGAAAUGUUUAACUGACAACUCUCCUCUCUUCCCCACCCCUCUCUCCCUCUCUCCUUCCCUCUGUGUAUGUGUAUCUGUGUGUGUAUGUAAAGCACUGCUAUCAGAAAUACAAAUAGUUACAGUCUGGCUAUCAAUGAACGGGGCUAAACCAUUUAGUACGUUCAAUUCUGAUUCUUCCAACAAAAAGCCUCCGCAUCAAGACGGGGAAAACGUCCUUUUCAUUUUCUCAACUGAAAAGGGGGAGGGGAGAGGAGGAGGUGGAGGCCAACUGCUUACAGGUUUGCAUUUAAAUUUAACAGCAGUUUCUGAGGAAUCCAGUAACUAACUCACGUUCAACUACUGAAUUCUAUCAGAAGCAGCACACGGAGAAACUGAGAGCGCAAUCCUUGGGCUUGAUGUGCGGCUUCAUCCGUCUUUCCUUUCCAAGAUCCACCCCCAAUACCCCAACCCGUUAAGCACACGUCUAAAUAUGUCUUCCCACCCAGAGCGCCCCUUUGGAGGAAAAGGCCUGCCCUUCGCAGCCUGAAGCCACGGCAGGCUCUCCGAUCCCUGCUUCGAUGAGGCCCCAAUUUCGAUGCCCUGCACGUCCGCCCCACCCCGGGCCCACACGGGUACCCGCGGGCGACAAAACCCUCCCUCCAGCGCUCAGCCAGCACUGACAGUUAAGGCUGCAGCAGCCGCAGCCACCAGGGCCUACUCCUGGCACCGGCCCCUCCAGACCACGCGCCCCAAGCACUCGCUCACGGAGGCGGGUGAGGGCCCGGGCGCCUACCCUGCCUGAGCCGCCCAGAGGGUGACGAGAGGGCCGGCGGUACAGAUCAGAGGGAGCGCGCCGGGCAGGCCGCGGCCGCAGCAGCACUGACCUGUCCUCGCCCCCGCGCCUGGGCUGCGGCCGCCUCACUGGUCCUAGUUGCCCUCGUCUGCCGCCGCCGCCCGCCACCGCCUCGUUCCCUUUCGCUGGCGCCACCGCCGAAGCUCAUGCGGGACCCACGCUACUCCUCAGGAAACCGAGGCCGGGAGGCCAGGCGCCCGGGCAACGCUGGAGUCGGCGCGCUGGUCCGCUGCUGCCGCGGUCUGUCCACAGUGGGGUGCGAGGGAGGCGAGCAACUCCGAGGAGAAGCAGAAGGAGGCGCCACCGUCCGCGACAGGUAGACAGAGGAGAGGCGUGAGGAGGCGGUGGACGGCUGCGUGGCCGGGUGCGCGAGCGAGCGCAGGAGGGGGCAGCGAGGUGCGGGCGAAGACGCAAGGCCCUGUCGUCUCCUGUAGUCACCCCCAGAGGAGCGCCACCAUCUUGGGAGAAACACACGGGUCUCGCGAACGCAGCGCAGGACGGGAGGACUGGGUGGGCGGGCCGAGUAUCCCGACAGGCAGCGCGCGCCGCCCUGCAGGGCGAGGGCUCCGAGAGGAGAGGCGGGAUGCGAGGCGAGGUCGCGCGUGCGUGGGAGGGCGGCAGGCAGCUGCCCCGCCCCGCUCGCAGCUCCGCGAGGCCCUCCCCACCCACCCCCCCCGCCCAGUUCGGCUUCGCUAGCGGCGCGGGGACCGGUGGGAAGGGGAGAUGGCCUUGGGCUCCGUGGAAGCCAGCCAGGCGCUGUCGCCAUCUUGAGACAGGGCUGGGAGAGGCUUGGUGCUUUCAGGCCGUGCUCCUUUCAUCCAGCCCCCUGUUCUUCAGUGUGCUCAGGGGGAGCGGCCCGGGCUAGCCUGCCGAGGACAGCCUCAGGGUCAGUUAGGCGGACUAAUGGGUUGCGAGAGUCGGCCGAGGCGGUGUACCCAGGCCGAGGCUCGAGGCGGAGCUCAAGUGUUCAGUUGCUAGGGCUGACCCCUAGGGCUUUUCACCCGAGCUGCCCUGGUAAACGUUGCAAGGGUUGCUGAGAGUGGACAAGCUUUCAGCACACGAGGUCAUCAGCUCAGGCCUCUGCCAGCACAGGCUAUGUCCCAGGUUUACCAGACGAGAAGAUAAAAGCCUAGGUCCUGCAGAGUCGUCUUCCAGUAGGCUGUCAACUGAGAGAAGUAACCGCCUGCUGAAUCCCACAUGGAUGGCUAAUUUUGAUGUAUAUAACAGCUGAACCAUGUUAAAGCCAUGGGUCUUGAUGGUACCCGAGUGACCUUUUUACUUAACGGGUUUUGUUGUUGUUGUUAAUGGCUUUGACACUUGCUACUAAAUUAUAAAGACUGGCUGACAAGUCAUUUUCUGUUUUAUAACAUUGUGGAUAAGCCUUAAUCAUAUAGUACUCAAAAUGUAACAAUCACAAGGUAGCAAUAUAUUUUUUCAUUACUUAGAACUUACACAAAUGUGUACAUAUAUGUGUGUAUACCCCAACUUCCCACUAUAAACAGUUAUUUAUUAAAACUAAGCAAGAGGGUGAAAAAAGAAUGUAAGCUAUUCUGGGAUAAAUGAUAAUAAAUGAUAUUGUUGUAAUGUCA